UCGAAAUUCGAGCCUGCCUAUACUUAUCCCUAUCGUAUUCUCUUUUCGUCCUACCUGCCCCGUGAACCUAAAACAAGAUUAUUACAUCUCAACCAGCUUAAUUAUUAUUAAUUAAAUAAAAGUUAAAUAAAACUUUCUACCUAUAUAAACACACCUCCCCCUCCAUCUAACAUUAACUCACAAACUCCUAACCUCUCUUCUCCGCACACAAAUAAUAAUUCCGAGGUCUCCGUAGAACUUAACUCUAUAUUUUUCGAGAUGUUGCUCGAAAAAAAGACGAAGGUAAAGAAAGGGUGGAUGGCGGUGGAAGUAGGGCUCGAAGAAGAAGGCGGAGCCACGAAAUUCGUGAUUCCGAUAUCGUAUCUUUAUCACUCUCUCUUUAACCAGCUUCUUGACUUGGCUCACGAGGUAUACGGCUACCACACCUCCGGGCCGCUCCGGCUGCCGUGCUCCACCGACGAGUUUCUGCAUCUCCGGUGGCAAAUCGAGAGGGAGAACAAUAAGCAUCAUCACCUGCAUCUUUAGCAUCUUCCUACUAGCUUGUCAUUUCAUACUUGUUGAAGGAUUGCUUAUAUUUAAGCAUGAUUGUUAUUAUGUGUAUUGUCGAGUAGGGUUUUGUAACUUCUCCCACUCCGUUUGGAGUUGUGGAGUGAAAUUGUUGCAAGUAAUGAGAUCUUUCUUCUUCCA